AUGCUCGCUUCGGCAGCACAUGUACUAAAAUUGGAACAAUAUAGAGAAGAUUAGAAUGGCCCCUGCACAUGGAUGACACACAAAUUUGUGAAAGUGCUCCAUAUUUUA
rnacentral:snRNA from 1 species